rnacentral:rRNA from 1 species
GACGAACGCUGGCGGCGUGCUUAACACAUGCAAGUCGAACGGAAAGGCCCUGCUUUUGUGGGGUGCUCGAGUGGCGAACGGGUGAGUAACACGUGAGUAACCUGCCCUUGACUUUGGGAUAACUUCAGGAAACUGGGGCUAAUACCGGAUAGGAGCUCCUGCUGCAUGGUGGGGGUGGGUAAGUUUCGGCGGUUGGGGAUGGACUAGCGGCUUAUCAGCUUGUUGGUGGGGUAGUGGCUUACCAAGGCUUUGACGGGUAGCCGGCCUGAGAGGGUGACCGGCCACAUUGGGAUGGAGAUAAGGCCCGGCCUCCUACGGUAGGCAACGGUGGGGUAUAUUGCACUAUGGGCGGAACGCAGAUGCAGCCACGCCGCGUCGGGUAUGACGGCCUUCGGGUUGUAAUCCGCUUCCGCCUGUGACGAAGCGUUAGUGACGGUAAUGGGUAAAUAAGCACCGGCUAACUACGUG